UACAGAGGUCCCGAGCGUUGUUCGGAUUCACUGGGCGUAAAGGGUGCGUAGGUGGUGAGGUAAGUCGGAUGUGAAAGCUCGGAGCUCAACUCCGAAAUGGCAUUGGAAACUACCUUGCUCGAGGGUUGGAGGGGGGACUGGAAUGCUUGGUGUAGCAGUGAAAUGCGUAGAUAUCAAGCGGAACACCCAGUGGCGAAGGCGAGUCCCUGGACAACUCCUGACACUGAGGCACGAAAGCUAGGGGAGCAAACAGG
rnacentral:rRNA from 1 species